GUCACGUCAUAGGCGCGCCAGAGAUCAUUUCUGUGAAGAGACGUCGUGUAUCUGACAGGAGAAGACCAUGGUCUUGACACUUGGUUGCAAUGAAGAACGCUGGCCAGGUGAAGGUUUGUCAAACUGGGUUAGCUGAUGAACCAGCCCCAAACCUUCUGCAGGUGUGCUUCAGUUUCCUGGCACCUGGAAACAAGGACUCACAGCUGAGCAGUUUGAUAAACAAGACUGAGUCAGAGGAUGCAUCAGCCCUCAGAGGUUAACGUUUUACACAGGACCCCAUCACUGUGGAGGAAAGAGCUGAUCAGGUGAACAUCAGUUGACUAUCUCCUACCAGAGUGACAUCAGUUCAACAUGGCUGUCUGCUACUCCACAAAUUCUGUCAAGUAUUUUGCCAUUUAGUUGGACCUAAAUGUGACAA